UACGGGGGAUGCAAGCGUUAUCCGGAAUCAUUGGGCGUAAAGCGCCUGUAGGUUGUUUAGUAAGUCUGUUGUUAAAGACUAGGGCUUAACCCUAGGAAAGCAAUGGAAACUACUAGACUUGAGUAUGGUAGGGGUAGAGGGAAUUUCUAGUGUAGCGGUGAAAUGCGUAGAUAUUAGAAAGAACACCAGAGGCGAAAGCGCUCUACUGGGCCAUUACUGACACUCAGAGGCGAAAGCUAGGGGAGCGAACGGG
rnacentral:rRNA from 1 species